CGCCCGCAGCGUUUUGAUAGCCCAUGGAACAAAGAAAUAUGGUCCAGUAUGAGCAGUGGAACAGCUGAGUCUGAGUUGAAGUCGUAUUUGAAGUUGAAAUCGAGCUUUGGAGAUGGCCAACACGAUAAGGCGGAUCUGCCUGAAUUUGGAGAUAAUUUUCAGGGAGCGGAGGAUACGGAACUUCUUUAGGAGUGCCACAAUCUCCAGGUCGUCAGUGUCCACCCCUUUGAAGACCUUCACGAUCUCUGGUAUAACAGACUGGGGGAGGAGAGAGCAUGGUGACAGCAAAAUCAAAGAUGUUCCAGGUGCUUUUCCAGAAGUUCCAGAAGUUGUCCAACCACUUCAAUACGAUCUCCAGGAAGAAGAUGGCCAGGAUGCUCCAGUCCAACAUUUCCA